CCGCCCCCAAGUCAACACGGACUUCCCUCCCUGCGCGCCAGAACUUUGCGUUGUUCUUAGUGGCAUCUGGGGUCGAGGAGGGCGACUGUCAGCCAGUUGGGGGAUGUUUUCUUCUUGGUCUCUCGGCUUCUGCUUCCCUGUGAGCUGGGCAGCCUCAGCCCAGGUCCUAUCCGGUACUCAGCUGGCCUCGGUGUGCACAGCGCAGGCUUGAGUGCAGCCGUGGGGGCGGGCGGGGCAGAAGCAGGGCCCCUGGGAACAGCUGAGUCUGAAGGGUCAGAAGCCACGGCCCCUGUGGGGGGCUCUGGGGCAGCCAGGGGAGCUGCUCGUUAGUCGUCUCUGGGGCAGAAGGAAGGGACCUUCACCUGGGUUGGGACUGGGCCUGGGUCCCCAGUCUCACAGGGAGCUCGUCCUGAUUGUACCUGCCCGGCUGUGACGGCUGAGCCCGGGCUCCUGGAGGCAAGGCCACCUCAGGCCUCCAGGGCCGGAGCCGCAAGGAGCUGCUGGGUUUCCACAGGGCCACGGGGGCUGCGGCCACACGGAGCGGGAGCACAGGUGGGAAGGGUGUCUGUGAAAAAUGAAAUCUGUUGCCGCUUCCUCUAGCUUAAUUACUGGCAUGGUGGUUGCAGAGUUGAAAUGCAGCUUUAAAAGCCUUUGUGAGUAAUUAGUGUCAAACACACAAGAUCUACAAAGCCAUAAACUCACAGCUUGGUGAUAUUACCAAGUACUAAUUAAGAAAGAAAAAAGAAAAUUCCCUUUCAUGAUCAAAUUUUGAGCCCUGCCAAAGAUGAAAAACAAGGCAAUUUGCAGCCGAUGGCGACGCCGGAGGGUAAGUGGCGUCCACAGGAAGAUGGCGGCCGAGCGCGGCGAGCAGGCAGGGUCUGGUUGAGGGCUGGGGUGGUGACGGCGUGAUUGUGCCUGGCUACCGGGUUCUCAGCCAGGCAGCACCUGAUUCCCAGGAGAGAUGGAAUCCCAGCUCAGAAAGGGGAGACUCAUGCGAGGGCAGAGGCAAGGCACCCGCCCAGAAGGAUUGGGGGUCUCCCCAUUUCACAGGUGGGGACACUGAAGCUGAGCUCACAGCCAGGAGAGGGACAGCAGAGUGACGGCCGAGACCAUCUGCACUGCGAGGGAAGCAGCGCCCACCUUCCUUGGUGGUCCGGGAAGGCCGGACCGGCCCCUUGGGUCCCCACUGGCCUCAGCCACUGUGGGCUCGUCCAGCUUCAGCUGCCAGGAGAGGCCAGGCCGAGGUCAGGAGGCUCAGCAGCUGGUUCCAUGACUUCCUCUUCGCUGAGGAGGUCAGGACAGAAGCUUCUAGAUGACAGGCCGCCCAACUUGGUAUAAAACAGCAAAUUUCUGUGCCUGUGCUGUCGGGCUGUGAAUGACUUCUCGUCUGUUUCAUGAGAUGCAGCUUCAGCCCAGGGAGCCAUCAGAUGCAGCCGGGCGAGACGCGGAGCCAAGAGCUGUCCUCGCCCCCCAUGCCACCAGGCCCUCGGGUUCCAAGAUGCAGCUACUGGAGACAGAGUUCUCGCACACCGUGGGCGAGCUCAUCGAGGUGCACCUGCGGCGCCAGGACAGCAUCCCUGCCUUCCUCAGCUCGCUCACCCUCGAGCUCUUCAGCCUCCAGACCGUGGCGUAGCCUGCGCCUCGGGGGCAUAGCCAGAGCCACUCUACUUGGCCUGACCUGCAGGUCCCUUGCCCCGCCAGCCACAGGCUGGGUGCACGUCCUGCCUCUCCAGCUCCACAGGGCAGCGGCAUGACUGACAGACACGCUGGGACCUACGUCGGGCUUCCUGCUGGGGCGGCCAGCACCCUCCCCACGUGCAGACCCCAUGCGUCCCGGAGCCUGGUGUGUGGGCGUCGGCCACCAGCCCGGGCUCCUCACCUUGUGAAAUAAAAUCUUCUCCCCUAGACACUCCCACUCGCCCUGUGUAUCUGUGGCCUAGCCCUAGCAGGGUAGGCGGGAGGAGGGGAAGGAGCUCCCUCAGCAGCCGCCGCCAUCUGCAGACCGGACAACGUUAGGGUGAGUCAGGCAUUUCCGCUCAGGGAGUGCACAGGUGGCAGCUGGGACCAAGGGUGGCUGGGGUGCCCCCCCACCACCAUGGGCUGAGGCCCCUCCGCGUAGCAGCUUCCAGCUCUGCCUCAAGGCCGGGCCCCAGCUCUGGGGCUUCCCUUUGCUGAUGGAACCCGGAUGGAGGCACAGGGGCUGGGGGGACUGUCCUCACAGAUAAGGGUGCAUCGAGGAGAGACUGCCCUCUGUGCCCAUCUCUCCAGGGCCAUAGAAAUACAUUCCAUAGACCUAAGCAGUAUUUGAAUUUUUAUAACAAUAGCAUAUGUGUUUCUUAUGUGAUUUACUAGAAACAAUUUAAUUUCUCGAGUUGUAAAAAGGUGUAUUUUAAACCUGUGUAAAGGUACCUGGAGAUCAUUGUCAUUCAGAAUAACAAAAUAAAACAGCAAUAUAAAAACACAGAUAUUAUCAUAGUACAAUGUUAAAUACUAUAAUAUUCAAGAUGAUAUUAAAAUUACAUAUAUCUACAUCUAUAUGCAUAUAAGGAUGUCAAUAAAUGAUAUUAAUGUC
rnacentral:lncRNA from 1 species